AUUGAACGCUGGCGGCAGGCCUAACACAUGCAAGUCGAGCGGAUGAAGGGUGCUUGCUUCCGGAUUCAGCGGCGGACGGGCGAGUAAUGCCUAGGAAUAUGCCUGGCAGUGGGGGAUAACGUCCGGAAGCGGGCGCUAAUACCGCAUAAGUCCUGAGGGAGUAAGUGGGGGAUCUUCGGACCUCACGCUAUCAGAUGAGUCUAGGUCGGAUUAGCUAGUUGGUGGGGUAAAGGCCUACCAAGGCGACGAUCCGUAGCUGGUCUGAGAGGAUGAUCAGUCACACUGGAACUGAGACACGGUCCAGACUCCUACGGGAGGCAGCAGUGGGGAAUAUUGGACAAUGGGCGAAAGCCUGAUCCAGCCAUGCCGCGUGUGUGAAGAAGGUCUUCGGAUUGUAAAGCACUUUUAGUUGGGAGGAAGAGCAGUAAGUUAAUACCUUGCUGUUUUGACGUUACCAACAGAAUAAGCACCGGCUAACUUCGUG
rnacentral:rRNA from 1 species